ACGGAAGGCAGCAGUGGGGAAUAUUGGGCAAUGGGCGGAAGCCUGACCCAGCAACGCCGCGUGAAGGAUGAAGGUUUUCGGAUUGUAAACUUCUGUCCUUGAUGUCGAACGCAAUGACGGUAAUCAAGGAGGAAGCCCCGGCUAACUACGUGCCAGCAGCCGCGGUAAUACGUAGGGGGCAAGCGUUGUCCGGAAUGACUGGGCGUAAAGGGCGUGUAGGCGGUUUUUUAAGUCUGGAGUGAAAGUCCUGCUUUCAAGGUGGGAAUUACUUUGGAGACUGGAAGACUUGAGUGCGGAAGAGGUAAGUGGAAUUCCCAGUGUAGCGGUGAAAUGCGUCGAGAUUGGGAGGAACACCAGUGGCGAAGGCGACUUACUGGGCCGUAACUGACGCUGAGGCGCGAAAGCGUGGGGAGCGAACAGGAUUAGAUACCCUGGUA
rnacentral:rRNA from 1 species